GAUAAAUUCAGCUUUCACUUUACCUAGGAAACGCCAUCACUGGGUAACCUGUGUGGGAACUUCAAAGGAAAUGAACUGAGAGGGGAAGAUGUCCUGCCUUGUGUAUAAGCAGUACAACCCAGAGAAUGGGAUCCUGGGAGGAAUUACACAAAAGAACAGGAAGAGCUAGUCUUUCCAGUGCACGACUUUUCCUGCUUCUGAAAAUGCCUCCUUGUAAAACCCACAAAGGACCAUCACACUUCAGACAGUUCCUUCAGACAUUUCGGUAAGUGCAAAUGAAGUGUUUAAUCUUCUGGCAGAUCCAUAAUGUCCCACAGAUGUGCCCCUAGCUAAGAAAAUCACAUGGACAUCUAUAUGAGGAGUGUGGUCCAGUAACAGCUGCUAGAUUGCUGCUUGGGCUGGGAGUGAUGAUCCCAGCUGCUUUUCUGUCCUUCCUAGAGAGCUGUUAAGAUGAAGCCUUGAGACGAUCUUCUCUUAAUACAGCCAAUCAGGAGGCUCUUCCCCCAAACACAUUCCUCUGCAGAUGACAAGAGAAAAAAAAAAAGGAAAUAAAGUCCCUGGUUCAUUUUAAAGAUAACCUUGCCAGAAAGCACAUCUUCCUUAGAGGGAUUGGAGAAAGAGGAAGGAAAG
rnacentral:sRNA from 1 species